GACGAACGCUGGCGGCGUGCUUAACACAUGCAAGUCGAACGGAAAGGCCCUGCUUUUGGGGUGUGCUCGUGUCGAGCGGGUGUGUGAAACACGUGUGUACCGUGCCCUUGACUUUGGGAUAUCUUGAGAACACUGGGGAUAAUCCCAGAGAGGCUCUCGUUGUGCAGGGGGGGGGGUGAAAAGUUUGGGCGGUUGGGGGUGGUCUCGCGGCAUAUCCGCUUGUUGGGGGGGGAGGGGGUUCCCGAGGGUUUGGGGGGUAGGCGGGCUGGGGGGGUGCCCGGCCACAUUGGGGCUGAGAUACGGCCCAGAAUCCUACGGGAGGCAGCAGUGGGGAAUUUUGCACAAUGGGUGGGAGCCUGAUGCAGCAACGCCGUGGGCGGGAUGACGGCCUUCGGGUUGGAAACCGCUUUCGCUCAUGACGAAGCUUUGUGUGACGGUAGUGGGUAAAGAAGCACCGGCUAACUACGUG
rnacentral:rRNA from 1 species